GAAUAUUUGACAAUGUGCGCAAGCCUGAUCACGCAACGCCGCGCGCAGGAUGAAGGACUUCGGGGUGUAAACUGCUUUUGUACGGACGGGACAGCUUUGGGUUAAUACCCUGGAGUCAGGACGGUACCGUAAGAAUCAGAACCGGCUAACUACCGGCCGGCAGCCGCGGUAAUACGUAGGGUGCAAGGGUUAAUCGUAAUUACUGGUCGUAAAGCGUGCGCAGUGGGUUUUGUAAGACAGAGGUGAAAUCCCCGGGCUCAACCUGGGAACUGCCGUUGUGACUGCAAGGCUAGAGUACGGCAGAGGGGGGUGGAAUUCCGCGUGUAGCAGUGAAAUGCGUAGAUAUGCGGAGGAACACCGAUGGCGAAGGCAACCCCCUGGGCCUGUACUGACGCUCAUGCACGAAAGCGUGGGGAGCAAACA
rnacentral:rRNA from 1 species